rnacentral:rRNA from 1 species
CCCAGACUCCUACGGGAGGCAGCAGUGGGGAAUAUUGCACAAUGGGGGAAACCCUGAUGCAGCAACGCCGCGUGGGUGAAGGAGCGUUUCGGCGCGUAAAGCCCUGUCAGCGGGGAAGAAGAAAGACGGUACCCGACCAAGAAGCCCCGGCUAACUACGUGCCAGCAGCCGCGGUAAUACGUAGGGGGCAAGCGUUAUCCGGAUUUACUGGGUGUAAAGGGAGCGUAGACGGCGACGCAAGUCUGAAGUGAAAUGCCAGUGCUCAACACUGGAACUGCUUUGGAAACUGUGUAGCUAGAGUGCAGGAGAGGUAAGUGGAAUUCCUAGUGUAGCGGUGAAAUGCGUAGAUAUUAGGAGGAACACCAGUGGCGAAGGCGGCUUACUGGACUGUAACUGACGUUGAGGCUCGAAGGCGUGGGGAGCAAACAGGAUUAGAUACCCGCGUAU